AUUGAACGCUGGCGGAAUGCUUUACACAUGCAAGUCGAACGGCAGCACGGGGGCAACCCUGGUGGCGAGUGGCGAACGGGUGAGUAAUACAUCGGAACGUGCCCAGUCGUGGGGGAUAACGUAGCGAAAGCUACGCUAAUACCGCAUACGAUCUAAGGAUGAAAGCGGGGGACCGUAAGGCCUCGCGCGAUUGGAGCGGCCGAUGGCCGAUUAGGGAGUUGGUGGGGUAAAGGCUCACCAAGCCUGCGAUCUGUAGCUGGUCUGAGAGGACGACCGGCCACACUGGGACUGAGACACGGCCCAGACUCCUACGGGAGGCAGCAGUGGGGAAUUUUGGACAAUGGGCGCAAGCCUGAUCCAGCCAUUCCGCGUGCAGGAUGAAGGCCUUCGGGUUGUAAACUGCUUUUGUACGGAACGAAAAGGUGCCUCCUAAUACGGGGUGCUCAUGACGGUACCGUAAGAAUAAGCACCGGCUAACUACGUGCCAGCAGCCGCCGCGG
rnacentral:rRNA from 1 species